GAUAGAAGGAUCCGAUCUAACACAAAAUCCAAGAUUGAGAUGGUACCCUGGAGGCAUGCCGUGCAUGGGAGGCAUUCCAUGCAUCAUGGGUGGAACACCUGGCAUCAUUGGAGGCAUUCCUGUAACGGUGAUGGGGAAAGAGCAUUUACCCAGGCAUCCCGGGUCCCCCAGCAACAGGUGGAAUUCCUGGCUGAGCCAUGGGUGCAGCAUAGCCUGACUGAGGUGGCACUCCAGCCACCUGCGGUACCGAUGGACCCGGUUCAUCGUCGUCGUCAUCUUCAUCCGAGUCAUCUGGGUUUUUCUUUUUGCCAUCUGAAGGAAGGAAUAAAUAAUGUAUAAAAUGUA